CAGGUUUUGCGGAUGAUUGCUCUGCUGAAAAGCAGAGAGGAAAGUCCGGACUUCAUUGAGCAGUGCAAAGGGUAACGCCCUUCCGUCGUAAGGCGAGGAACAGUGGAACAGAAAGAAUAUCCAGGGCAUCGAUCUAGAAAGCGGGAACGGGAGCUUUUUAGGGAGCUGCUGGAGUGAAAACAGCUAAACUCUGCACGAAGCAAGAUCAAAUAGGGAAGCGCUUUAGUUCGGCUCUGACGAGCUUCCGGGUAGGAUCGCUAGAGGGUUUCGGUAACGAAACUCCCAGAUAAAUAGUCAUACAUGAGGCUAGGUUUAGGGACCUAGUUUCAAGACAGAAUCCGGCUUAUAGCAAAACCAAACUC
rnacentral:RNase_P_RNA from 1 species